rnacentral:rRNA from 1 species
UACGAAGGGGGCUAGCGUUGCUCGGAAUUACUGGGCGUAAAGCGCACGUAGGCGGCUUCUUAAGUCGGUGGUGAAAUCCUGGAGCUCAACUCCAGAACUGCCUUUGAUACUGAGAAGCUUGAGUCCGGGAGAGGUGAGUGGAACUGCGAGUGUAGAGGUGAAAUUCGUAGAUAUUCGCAAGAACACCAGUGGCGAAGGCGGCUCACUGGCCCGGUACUGACGCUGAGGUGCGAAAGCGUGGGGAGCAAACAGG